rnacentral:rRNA from 1 species
GACAGAGGUGCCGAGCGUUAGGCGGAAUCACUGGGCUUAAAGCGUGUGUAGGCGGCCGUUAAGUGCCUUGUGAAAUCCCCGGCUCAACCGGGAACGGCUGGCAUACUGGCGGCCUUGAGUCACUCAGGGUCAGCGGAACAACGUGAGCGGUGAAUGCGUAGAUAUCGUUGGACGCCGACGGCGAAGCAGCUGACUGGAGUGAUCUGACGCUGAGACACGAAGCCAGGGAGCGAACGGAUUAGAUG